UACGUAGGGUGCGAGCGUUAAUCGGAAUUACUGGGCGUAAAGCGUGCGUAGACGGUUAUGUAAGUCGGGUGUGAAAGCCCCGGGCUCAACCUGGGAAUGCCAUUCGAGACUGCAUAGCUAGGGUGCGGAAGAGGGAAGCGGAAUUUCCGGUGUAGCGGUGAAAUGUGUAGAUAUCGGAAGGAACACCAGUGGCGAAAGCGGCUUCCUGGUCCAGCACCGACGUCAGGCACGAAAGCGUGGGGAGCAAACAGG
rnacentral:rRNA from 1 species